UGCCAGGUCAAGGAGCAGACCAGCAAGCGUCUUCAUCCAAGAUGGUUCAUGCACAGAAGAUUGAGCCACUUACCAUUUCAGAGCUUAACCAAUUUAUUAUCACUGCUGAUUCUCAGAUUAUUGAGUUCCUCUGCACUGCUAAGUGACCGGGAUCCAGCAAGAUGACGGUUGUUGUUAUAUUGGUUUUUUCAGAUGUUCAAAGAAACUUGUCCGAGAGAUAUCUUCCUUCACAUGUGCUCAGGUACCGAGUGACACUGAUUCAGCAUCUUUCCUUGCUUUGUUACGAAGAUUGCUAAACUGACAAACAUCCAAGCUUCUGAGGCUGCAUAGACUGGGGAUAGGUGUUCAUGCUCAGGUUGAUACUGAGUUGCAUCGGUCCCUUGCUGAGAUUGUUGGGAAAACCUACACAUUCCAUAAACUGAACGAUUUCAAUUUUGCUUUGAAGCAUCAAACCUUCACCAUUUCCCGCAUAUUUCCAGAGCGAGAGCUUGCACCUAUGCCAGCCUUUGUCAUACCUUUAGUUCCGUUUCUUAACGUUAAUUUUCUACAUCUACUUUUACUUCCAAUAUAUAAUCUCCUGUUUGUUACCUUAUUAAUAGGAAGGUGCAAAUGCUCCUGAGGAAGCACUGCAUGAAGUUGUGGCACCAGGAACAGAGGAGAAAGAUGCCAACACUUGCAAUGUGGCAGAGGAGAGCCAUCCACGUCUGAUGCUUCCACUGCCGGACGUGCUGCAUCGGCCAAAGAACAAGUUACUGCUGAUAGGAAUGCCCGCAAGAAAGCACGUGUGGAAUGAGUCCACUACUAGCUCUUAGACAAGCAUAACUUCUUAUCGACUACUGCUUAUCUUUUAAUUUUCGUCAACUUCUUAUCGACUACUGCUUUUAGUAUCUUUUACUUUUUGUUUAAUUCUAUUUCCCUUUUGUUUUAUAACUUCAUGUUGUGGUUGUCGUUUAAAUUAUUAAUGCAAAUUUUUUUAUGCAGAAAA